GGCAAGAUGGCCGAGUGGUCUAAGGCGCUGCACUCAAGUGAAAUAAUCUUGUCUAGCAACAGCUGGAUAGCAUUGCAGUCUCGAAAGAGGCGUGGGUUCGAGUCCCACUCUUGUCA
rnacentral:tRNA from 1 species